rnacentral:rRNA from 1 species
UACGGAGGGUGCGAGCGUUGUCCGGAAUCACUGGGCGUAAAGGGCGCGUAGGUGGCACGGUAAGCGUGUGGUGAAAGCUCGGGGCUCAACCCCGAGUCGGCCAUGCGAACUGCUGCGCUUGAGCACUGUAGAGGCAGACGGAAUUCCGGGUGUAGCGGUGGAAUGCGUAGAGAUCCGGAAGAACACCGGUGGCGAAGGCGGUCUGCUGGGCAGUAGCUGACACUGAGGCGCGACAGCGUGGGGAGCAAACAGGAUUAGAAACCCGUUAGUCC